rfam:Myotis lucifugus cont2.30155, whole genome shotgun sequence.
GGCAGUUCUCAGGUGAUGCACCCCAGAAUCAGGCUCCCUCCUCUCUGGUUACGGGUGCAUCACUGAGAACCACC